rnacentral:rRNA from 1 species
GACGAACGCUGGCGGCGUGCUUAACACAUGCAAGUCGAACGGAAAGGCCUGCCUUCCCUUGUGGAUUGCGGGUACUCGAGUGGCGAACGGGUGAGUAACACGUGAGUGAUCUGCCCCCAACUUGGGUAUAAGCCUGGGAAACUGGGUCUAAUUCCCGAUAGGACUGCAGGGUGGUGCCUGUGGUGGAAAACGAUUUUCUAGUGGUUGGGGAUGAGCUCGCGGCCUAUCAGCUUGUUGGUGGGGUAAUGGCCUACCAAGGCGGCGACGGGUAGCCGGCCUGAGAGGGUGGACGGCCACAUUGGGACUGAGAUACGGCCCAGACUCCUACGGGAGGCAGCAGUGGGGAAUAUUGCACAAUGGGCGGAAGCCUGAUGCAGCGACGCCGCGUGGGGGAUGACGGCCUUCGGGUUGUAAACUCCUCUCGACCGCGAGGAAGCCACCUGGUUGGAAGGGUGGUGACGGUAGUGGUAGAAGAAGCACCGGCUAACUACGUG